AGCAGCCGCGGUAAUUCCAGCUCCAAUAGCGUAUAUUAAAGUUGUUGCAGUUAAAAAGCUCGUGGUUGAAUUUCGGGAUCAAUACGUCGGUCGUGCUUCGGUACGUACUAACGUCAUUGAUUUCUCCCUUCUGACGAAUCGUGAUGUCAUUAAUUUGGUGUUACGGGGAGUUAGGACUGUUACUUUGAAAAAAUUAGAGUGUUUAAAGCAAGCAAUCGCUCGAAUACAUUAGCAUGGAAUAAUGAAAUAGGACGUUCGAACCUAUUUUGUUGGUUUCUAGGAUCGACGUAAUGAUUAAUAGGGAUAGUUGGGGGCAUUAGUAUUCAAUUGUCAGAGGUGAAAUUCUUGGAUUUAUUGAAGACUAACUACUGCGAAAGCAUUUGCCAAGGAUGUUUUCAUUAAUCAAGAACGAAAGUUAGGGGAUCGAAGACGAUCAGAUACCGUCGUAGUCUUAACCAUAAACUAUGCCGACUAGGGAUCGGAUGAUGUUAAUUUUAUAAUGACUCAUUCGGCGCCUUAC
rnacentral:rRNA from 1 species